GAAAGGCUGCGCACCCUUGUGUGCAGAGGAACCUUGUAUGCACAAACACACACACAGCGGCACUAACACUGCUGCUUGACAACACUCCGCUCCAUAGCAGAUGAAAGGACAGAGAACAAACAGGUAAACCAGACACACACGAAGGUGCCCACCAAGCGAGCCAUCACGGGCUCCGCCUUAAUCUCUUCGCGGGUGGCCUCUCCAGAGUGUUUCCUCUGCUGCGCCACCCCGCCUUCUUCGCUUUCAGACACGCUUCUCUCUCCGUUGUUUCCUCCAUCCUACCUUUGCUCAGGUGCCUCAGUGGAGUCUCUAGUAGCGCCUUCUGUCAUUCCGUCCCUGACGGGGGAUUCCGGGACGAAGCUGGCGCUGAGUUGUUUGGCAGCGGGGGCUGUGGUGGCGGGCCUCCUGCUCUUUUCGACCCUCUUGUGCGAAAACUGGAGGUGCUGGCGACUGCGACUCGGCAGAAAGUCGCGAGUGGCAGCUAUGUCUCCAGCGGCAGCUACAACGCACUCGACAACGAAACCGUAUGCUCCGAAUCGCAGCAGCAUUCCAGAGACCCGCAGCCGUGCCCCAAAUGGCACGCGUGCCUCCGCUGCGGACGAGGUGACUCUGUUGACGGCCCCACAGUUUGCGAAGUCCACAAAGGACACCCGAAGCUCCGCGCGGCAGCAGGAGGAGCAACUCAGCGAUUUGUUUGUGCUGAUUCGGCAUGGAGAGCGGCAGGAUCACGUUGAUCGUGCGUGGAAAGGCAACGCACUUCUCCCCCUCUACGACCCGCCUCUGUCAAACGCUGGCCGGAUGCAGAGCUUUGAGACGGCGCUUAGGUACUUCGCACUCCGGCAAGAGAGGAAGGUGGAGAAGCGCAUCCGCGGCACGUUCACGCUCUUUCUCGUUUCCCCAUUUCACCGGUGUAUCGAGACCGCAGCGGUUAUGAACGUCAUCGCGUUUGAGGGAAGGCUACCAAUGUACGUGGAGCCUCUCUUGUCGGAUUGGCAGCAGGCGAAGGUGUUUCGCACCGCUCCCGUACUGGGAGGCUCGUACACGACCAGCGGGAGGCCCGGCUUGCCCGGCGCAAAAGGCGAUCGGCUCCUUUUCCGACCACAGGUGGAGGCGCUUCGCGCGACGCUCAUCCCGUUCCUGAAAACGCGCGCAGCGGAAGAAACCGAGCUCCUCGCUGAAUACAACAUCGGUGCUGAGGUGGCGAGCGCAUGGCCCACGGUGGCGGAGGAGUGGCUAAACACGCACACCGCGCUUCCCGUCUGGACCUGCGCCGCGACGACGAGUGCCAUUGAGGCAAAGGCCGCCUCGCGGUCUGACGGCGCCAGUGAUGUGCGCGCGACAAGCCGAAGGGCUGCAAAGAGCUCGCAGCCUUCUCCACGAGAUGCCUCGAAUGAGGGGUAUCGCGGCUGCGGCGUGACGCACCCAGAGGGCAAGUCGGACCUGCUCCGGCGCUGCGAGCAGGUGAUGAGCACGCACUUUCUCCGGUGCGCCGCUGUCGAGUCAGAUACUAUGGUGCCUUUGGCAAUCCAGACUGCCGUGGCCGCGGAGCGAAAGACGCGUUUGCCCAAGUAUUUUCAGAUUUGGGCAGAGCGCACAGAGGAGAACCGCGAGUCUGCCGGGCCGCCGGCGCUGUUGCCACCGAUGCAUAUCAUGGCCAUCACCCACGCCGACGUUGUGUCCACGCUCUUGGAGGUGUGCUGCCCCAAGUAUCACGACAAGGGUGCCGGCUAUUCGGUGCCCUACUGCAGCGUCACGACGCUUAAGCGACACAACAACUACUACCGCAUCCCAACAGCAGAGGAGCGGCGACGACGAGAAGCGAGUGUCAGCACUCUCGCACCUGCUCAAAAUCGAGGAAAGUGUUAUGCAAAGAAGAAAGGCAACACGCCAUCAUUCAAGAAUCAGCUGACGACUCCGAUUCGGACAAGACCACUCUCGCCAUUGCCCGUGGAGUGGAAUGUGGAGGCUGUCGGCUCCAUCGACCUGCUGCGCACUCGCAUUGUGAUUCAGUACACCAAGUAGAGGAGAUGGCGUGGACCGGAAGGCGCUAGCGCACACGUGCGCCGCCGCGCUUGGAGUCACGCAGCCAUUGCUGACUUGCUCUCUGUUUCAUCCGAGCCAUGGAAUAUGUGUGCGCGCAUGUAUGUGACGGCGGCUGCACUGGAAGUGGAGAUGAUCGCAUCUUCCUCUCUCCUUCGUGUGCCUGUUUUUCUUGUCUUAUUCUGCUUGUGUGCGUCGUCUCUACAGCUCACGGCAAAAAAAAAAGGCGAGAGUGAGCGCUGCAGUUCGGGCGGCACACAGGCAAACAUGUCGGGGCAGAUGCCAUGAAAAGUACGGUACCGCUCGUUUCUCAGCACGAGCACCAUGAGAAGGCAAACCCGUGCGUACAAAACGGCCUCUCCUCCGUCUGUGCGUGUGCCUUGAAGGGUCGCAAAGAGGGGGGAGGGGGGGGGGCGGCAUUUCGAAAUUGGUGCCUCCUUGUGUGCAUAUGCGUGCAUUUCUUCGAAAGGUGCUUGCGCCGUUAUGCCUCAGCGACGAGAGGCGGCGUGAGGCAAGUAGGAGCAUCGCCAGACGACCAGAGAAAAAGUGAAGCGCAAAAGCAAACACACACGCACACAUGCGGUUGCGUGUUCGUCUCGUAUCUCUUUCUUAUUAUUAUUGCCUUUCGUUCGUUUGUCUUCAAGUCCCGCAUCUCCUUCCCUCCGCGAUUGUCGCGUCCCGCGCCGGUAUGCUCUGGUCUUCUUCUUAAGCUUUCUCUGUUCGUCUCCUCCUCUGGUAUUCCCUUUCGUGUCUCACUCGGCUCUGCACACGCCACGUUAGUUUUCUCAGGUCAGCUUCAAAGCUGUUUUUGGCUCUCUCACACCACUGACACACACAUACACACACACGCGAG
rnacentral:misc_RNA from 1 species